rnacentral:rRNA from 1 species
GCUUUCGAAGGCUUGACCUCAAAUCAGGUAGGACUACCCGCUGAACUUAAGCAUAUCAAUAA